AAACGAAGAUCUGAACGCGGAGG
rnacentral:piRNA from 1 species